UAGAAUGUGAUUUUUUCUACAGAGGUUUACUCCCCUGGACAAUACUUCGUGACUUCAAAUAGCAUAAACCCAUGUUACACUGUGAUUUUUUCUACAGAGGUUUACUCCCCUGGACAAUACUUCGUGACUUCAAAUAGCAUAAAUCCAUGUUACACUGUGAUUUUUUCUACAGAGGUUUACUCCCCUGGACAAUACUUCGUGACUUCAAAUAGCAUAAAUCCAUGUUACACUGUGAUUUUUUCUACAGAGGUUUACUCCCCUGGACAAUACUUCAUGACUU